CCAGACUCCUACGGGAGGCAGCAGUGGGGAAUAUUGCACAAUGGGGGAAACCCUGAUGCAGCGACGCCGCGUGAAGGAAGAAGGUCUUCGGAUCGUAAACUUCUAUCAGCAGGGAAGAAGAUAGUGACGGUACCUGACUAAGAAGCCCCGGCUAACUACGUGCCAGCAGCCGCGGUAAUACGUAGGGGGCGAGCGUUAUCCGGAAUUACUGGGCGUAAAGGGUGCGUAGGCGGCCUUUUAAGUCAGAUGUGAAAGGCUACGGCUUAACCGUAGUUAGCAUUUGAAACUAAGAGGCUUGAGUGCAGGAGAGGAGAGUGGAAUUCCUAGUGUAGCGGUGAAAUGCGUAGAUAUUAGGAGGAACACCAGUGGCGAAGGCGACUCUCUGGACUGCAACUGACGCUGAGGCACGAAAGCGUGGGUAGCGAACAGGAUUAGAUACCCUGGUAGUCCACGCCGUAAACGAUGAGUGCUAGGUGUUGGUGGGGACACCCAUCAGUGCCGCAGCUAACGCAUUAAGCACUCCGCCUGGGGAGUACGGUCGCAAGACUGAAACUCAAAGGAAUUGACGGGGACCCGCACAAGCAGCGGAGCAUGUGGUUUAAUUCGACGCAACGCGAAGAACCUUACCAGGGCUUGACAUCCCUCUGACCGGAUUAGAGAUAGUCCUUUCUCUUCGGAGACAGAGGAGACAGGUGGUGCAUGGUUGUCGUCAGCUCGUGUCGUGAGAUGUUGGGUUAAGUCCCGCAACGAGCGCAACCCUUGCCUUUAGUUGCCAUCAGGUAAAGCUGGGCACUCUAGAGGGACUGCCGGUGACAAACCGGAGGAAGGUGGGGAUGACGUCAAAUCAUCAUGCCCCUUAUGUCCUGGGCUACACACGUGCUACAAUGGUCGGUACAACGGGAAGCGAGACUGCGAAGUUUAGCCAAUCCCAAUAAGCCGAUCCCAGUUCGGAUUGUAGGCUGCAACUCGCCUACAUGAAGUCGGAGUUGCUAGUAAUCGCGAAUCAGCACGUCGCGGUGAAUGCGUUCCCGGGUCUUGUACACACCGCCCGUCACACCAUGAGAGUCGGUAACACCCGAAGCCAGUGAGCUAACCUUUGGAGGCAGCUGUCGAAGGUGGGAUCGAUGAUUGGGGUGAAGUCGUAACAAGGUAGCC
rnacentral:rRNA from 1 species